rnacentral:rRNA from 1 species
ACGGGUGAGUAACACGUGGAUAAUCUGCCCUUUAGUGGGGAAUACCGUUGGGAAACCGACGACAAUACCGCAUAAUCCCGAGAGGGGAAAGCAGCAAUGCGCUGAAGGAGGAGUCCGCGGUCGAUUAGCUAGUUGGCGGGGUAAAAGCCCACCAAGGCUGUGAUCGAUAGCCGGCCUGAGAGGGCACACGGCCACACUGGCACUGAAACACGGGCCAGACUCCUACGGGAGGCAGCAGUGGGGAAUCUUGCACAAUGGGGGAAACCCUGAUGCAGCGACGCCGCGUGAGCGAUGAAGCCCUUCGGGGUGUAAAGCUCUUUCGGCAGGGACGAUAAUGACGGUACCUGCAGAAGCAGCUGCGGCUAACUACGUGCCAGCAGCCGCGG